GCCGCACCCUAAAUGCUGGUGUUCUAAAGCUGUACCGACGCCUAGCCCAACCACCGAAAACACCAUAACCAACACAAUUGUCUUCAAAAUUGCUUUUCAACUACAAGCCAGUACCCAUUCUUCAAUUGAGAUGAGUUUUGAAGACAUUUUUAUUCGGCUUAUAGUUUUAUGACAGCUUUAUCACCCGUCAAAAUUCAACCAGACUUCAUUUUGCGGACAAAGAGAUAUGCAGUAUAGUAUGCUACACACCACUCUAGCAUCGAUGACAUUUGAACCGUUAUUAGAGUUUAGACUUAGUGACCCGGGCCCACCGUCAGUACACUACAUGCAAGCUUGCAUUAAAAUUAUGGACAACUGAGAACUUCAUGCAGUGGUAGGCAUAUCAUAACUGCACAACAUUCAAUUUCAUAACAAAGAGUCGUAAACGGUACUUUUUUGCUGUUGUUCCUACACACGGAAAUAUUGUGUCACCAGAGUGAAAACGCGUCCGCUCGCACUGCCGUUGUGUUGCAGACAUCGCUCAGACAGUUUGUAAACUACACACAAAGCGGACAUCAUAAGCUCAUUAUAAAGGCGUAGCUAUGGGUUUUGUUCACCAAUAAAACUAGACAUCCGUACCCUAAAGAUGACUUCUGACAACCAGCAAGAAUCGUCCUACGAUCUAGGGUUCGACGAUGUGGCGCUUUCCCGUCCAAAACACCCGUAUUCCCGUGGCAUAUCUGGUUUGUACGAUCGACGGAUGUUCGAGAUAUCGGAGAAAGACAAACCCGUCCAAGGGUUUCCUUCUUCAAUAACUCAAGACCAAUGGGUUGGACUACGGUUUCAACGGCAACAUAAAGACGGUAGACUGACUAGCAACCUCUUCAACCCUUCACACGUGGAAAGUCAGACAUCGCACACCACCAGCACAACCUGAUCCUUGACCUAUGAACUGAAACAUUAUGGGAACAUUCAAGAGUAAUUUCGGACAUGUUUUUAUUUAACCAAGAACUGUCCAACUUGCGUGCAGAACUUAAGCAUAAAACUUUCUCUGAAAAUGUUAGUCGACUAGUUAUUAUAUUUAUGCCAAAAGAUUUCUCAAAUCAGAGUGAUUCGGGUAGAUUUUCGGUUAUAACCCAUCACACAAUUUGCCUUACAGACAAAAGAAAGACGCGGGAACCAUACGACUUUUUACUCCACAUGAUAUUAAACCAAGUUGACAGUGCAGGACCAUACACGCGUCGGGCACGUGCCGCCAUGAUGCAGCUGUGGACGGCCGGCGUCUAAAGCCUCGCCCAUGGGGUCAUUUUAUCGGUCAUUUACUCGAAUUGAACUGGAAAUUGUCAUGUCAACCACUGCUGAAAGUCAUGUAAACAACAUUUUGUGUACAGUAACUGAAACGUGAGAGCGAGACCUAUAUUAUUGAGUUUCCAUUUUUUUAACUCUAUUUUUCGAGAACCACGUGGUGAAUCACGAGGGUACCUUUUAAAAUGGCGGGUUACAUAACACAAUAUUUUUGGCCAGAAUCUAUUCCAAAUGCAGCUAAAACAGGGACCCUUGUACUUGAUACUAAGUUGGAGCCACCUCAGUUACUUGAUACUGAAUACUUGUCCUUGAAAUUACCUACUUCUUGCUACCCACACGUUGUACUGUUUUGUUACACAAACGGUUGUCAUGGUUUUGUUUGGUUUUGUAUUUUUGUAUAUCACUUGAAUUAUGUUUGUGGUUAUAUACAUUAUUCAUGUAUUUAGGUUAAUAUUUUUGCUUUUAGGGGCAAAAAAGUCCAAGAUAUACUCCGGGUCCAUGCUAAAGUUGUUUGGCUAGUUAUUGCGGUAUUUUCACCCGAAACCCCACUCUGCAGCAGGCGCAUAUUCUUUACUUAUUGGAGUAAAUUGAUCAUCGUAGAACAAACAGUUAUACUGAGCAUGCUCUGUAAAUGCUAUUGGCAAAAUGGAGAUCUGGCAAAAUUGCCGAUUUUAGACGUUUCAUGGAAAUUUCUCCUUAAAAAACUGCUGUUUUUUGCACUUUGGACACCAGAGCAUGGUAAAGUAUUACAGUUUUAAUGUUUGUCGUACUAACUAAAGGCAAAUUUAAGUAACAUUUAUUCUCAAAAUGUGUUAAUUUCAGGGAAAACAUUUCUUGGACCGUCUAAAUUUCCUGUUGGAAACUGAACAUUAAUUUCAUUCGCGCAGCGCAAUAACAGUACUAAUUGCGGUUUUGUGCUGAGCUUCAAGUUCAUGUGUCAUGUCUCAGUUGUUAUUUGUGCACAUGCAUCAUCAAAACCCCAAAUAUCUGACCAGCUUUGUAUAAAGAUUUGUCGCAUUGUAAUGUUUGUAUUUUGUGGACAAGAUUGUUCUGUGGAAAAAUAUACAAAUUUGAUCACGGUUGGAUUUCACGAGGUCAAGAAUUGCACUAGCAAAAACUGCACUGCUUAAAAUGAGUGUACAUUUUUUCUUCUUCACAUGAAUCGAUAAUUAAAAAUGGUACCUAAUGUUUAAAUUAUGCACAUUGGAGAUGUGGGUACUAGUAUCGAAAGUGGCCACUGCUAUUUUCAUCUGAACAUAAAAUAUCUUCAAAAAUAUCACACACAAAAAUUGAACAUUUUCCCCAAACAUACACAUGGUCACACAUGAGGUCACUGUCACUAAAAUAUUCAUUGAACAUAAUAUAUGUUAUUGUAAAUAUUAAUAUUUAGAACACUGGAGAAUACUUUGUAACAUUCCAAUUGUGAAUAACCAAAUAAAAUAUAGUGUAUAAAUCUCAAUGUAUUCUUCAAAAAAUUUGAGAAUAAAAAAUCUUUGAUACAAAUGUUAA